UAAUAGUAUAACAGUAUAAUAAUAAUGUAGGAAAAUAUAUAAUAUAGCAUAAAAUUAUAUAAUGCAGCAAAAAAUAUUGCAGAAUAUUUAGUGCAUGCAUAUAAACUGCAAACUAAAACAAUUAUACAAUAAAUACACCUAAAGCUUCACAGUGAAUAAUAGACUACUUUUAAGACAGAACAGCCCUAUUAUCACGAUAUGGAUUUGUAAUAUCACAAUAUUUCUGUGUCACGAUAUAUUGUAUACGAUAUAAUAUUGCCCACCCCUAGUAUUAUUGUAAAGUUUUAGCCUGGUUCAGCCUUAACCAGAAGAAAGCUCAUGUAGGUGCAGGGGUGUCUCAGCCAUUAAAUCACUAGGUUAUUUAUGGGUUUGAUACCUAGUUUUGACAAGCUGCCAUUGUUAGGUCCUUGAACAAUGCUGUUUACCCUUAAUUCCCCAAUAUGAAGGCUUAUUUGUUUACUAUAUCAUUAUGUGUGUUAAUUAAAUAUGGAGUGUGUUAUAUAAAUUAUAGAAUACUACAAAUGAUAGUUGUCUUUAUGAUUUAGUUGUUUUUUUUUCUCUUCUACUAUUAAAUAAAGGGCUAUUUCUGUUUUGUCAUAAUAUUAGAUAAAGAGUGAAGACGCACACAGCAUAUCAAGAUGUUUCUAUUCUUGGUUGACUGAAAUAUGGUACAGAUUUACCCAAACAGCAUACAAUAAUUUAAAUAUUGAAUAUAACAUUUUAAAUGUUGCAGGGGAUGUCUAUCACCACAGUAGAAGACAACGGAAGAACAGCAGUGGAUACUGCUGACACUGACAGUAUGAAGGGAAUACCUCCAGACAUCUCUUCUGAGGAAAGGUCAUACUUGAAACCAGAUAAAAAAGGUAGAAGAGGACGACAUGAGGCCUUAAUGGCAAAGCUGAGAGAAUGGAGUUGGGUCAAAACCUCUGUACACAAAUUGGGAAGAAAACUGUGGAAGAAGGGUCUGCAUUGUCAUGCUAGUGGAGGUCAGUAUAACUAACAAUCUAUUAACUCAUUUUAUCUAUGUAGUAAUUCAUACUAUUCAGUUUAAGUUGACGAAAACAGAAAAUUCAGAAUGAAUGAUCACUGCCCCCAGAUUAAUUUGAUAAGCCAAGAUGUUUUGUAACAAUAAGGUGACACAACUAACUACAGUGAUUAUAUAAAUAGUUGCUCAUUUGUGACUGCAAUGCACUACAUAAAGUGCUGAGGACAGAAACACAAUAGGGGAGGGGUUUAGGACUGCUCACUCACUUAGUUUACAUUCAACUUGGUCACCAGAAGUAAAAACAUAACAUUUUACAUAGUUACUCACUAAAUUUUAGUACUUUUCACUUUUAAACUUAAACUUAUUUAAAGGGAAAUUUAAUUCCCAUUUUAAGCCGUUUCUAUUGUUUUAAAGCAAUAGAGAAAAAUAGGAACAGGAGCAGUACCCACAGUAAGCAGAGAUGAAUGACAGAAAUUAUCGCGACAGAUUAAUCGACUAUUAGCCUAAUUGACAGUGUAAUCUAAGCAGGCGAGAGUCAUACACAGGUAUAACCAGCAUUGAAAAAGGUAAAAACUGGAGAAAUGGUUAUUAAACAGAAAAACUAGACAAGUACAAAGACACAGAAAAACAAGGCAAAGAGGUUCAAUACACACAAAGCACACAGUGGAGACACUCAGGCAAUCAGGGAUGACUGGGGAAGUGUCAUGUGACAUGUCGGUCUAGUGCAUGCUGGGAAAUUAGUUUUUGGGCAAUAAAUCAGUGUCAGAGGCUGGUUCUGGUCA
rnacentral:lncRNA from 1 species